CAUUGUGCUUGCACAGAUGACGACCGGCGCACGGGUGCGUAACGCGUAUAGAACCUACCUUUUACAGAGGAAUAGCCUUUAGAAAUGAAGAUUAAUGCCUCAUGGUAUUGUAGACUGGCAUCAGUUUAUAAUUAAAGAUUUAUCGGUAAAAGAUGGCUAUGCGUCCUAUUAGUUAGUUGGUAAGGUAACGGCUUACCAAGACAGCGAUAGGUAGGGGUCCUGAGAGGGAGAUCCCCCACACUGGUACUGAGACACGGACCAGACUCCUACGGGAGGCAGCAGUGAGGAAUAUUGGACAAUGGAGGAGACUCUGAUCCAGCCAUGCCGCGUGUAGGAAGAAUGCCCUAUGGGUUGUAAACUACUUUUAUACAGGAAGAAACACUGGUAUGUAUACCAGCUUGACGGUACUGUAAGAAUAAGGACCGGCUAACUCCGUGCCAGCAGCCGCGGUAAUACGGAGGGUCCGAGCGUUAUCCGGAAUCAUUGGGUUUAAAGGGUCCGCAGGCGGUCGAUUAAGUCAG
rnacentral:rRNA from 1 species